CAGAGAGCUUUUAUUAAGAAACAAUAAAAAUAGCAUAAUAAAAAUGUUGUAGCUUGUGCAGUGGGGUGUGAAAAAGUGACAAACAGCAGCACAGUGUCAGUGUGAACACAAACCAGGAAAGACAAGGAGAGAUUUGUUGAUCAGGUUACUCCUCCUGCCACAAACAAAUGUUCUCCGUGUUGUGCAGAAGUGGAAGCAAACAAAUUCAUGUGUAGUGGGUGGUUGCAAUGAAAAGCUGUUAUUUUUUGAUUGCGCCAAAAACAUUUUGUUUCCCUUGUUUCAAAUAGAGAUCUAGAUUAAUCUAAGGUGAAGAGUCUUAAAAUACAUAUUCAGAGUAACUUGUAAAGAUCCAUGUCCUUUUUUUGAAAACAGGAACUGAGAAACUAUUUAUUACGCAUUCUUUUUUGACCACCACUUUAGCCUAAAAAACAUUUAUGUGUCAGUCUGUUGGCCCCCAAAAUAAAUAGAUGUCUCGAGUCUCCCUUUGAGUCUUUUUGUGUAUAUCUUGUAGAAUGCAUUGAGGUUUCAUGUAGAUCUUUUGCUUUUUUGCUCUUUUCCAAAUUUGGUCUAUCUAUUCCCCUGCUUAGCUGAAUUUUUGCAUAAAUUGUGGCAAGUUAACCAUGCAGAGCCUCUCCUGUGCAGUAAUCUCAAACACCUUUGAAUCUAGUGCAAAUUUCUUGCAACUAAGCCUGGUCUAUGUCAGAUAACCAGUUCAUCAGCCCAGAUCUUUGGAAAACACAAGACUCUCUGCUGCCAGUUUUGCAGCAAUGUGCUGCAUGUUCUGUAUGGACAUAAUUCCUACACAGGCUUUGUAAAUUACAUACUUCUAUGGAGUGCAAAUUUUGAGAAACUUGCCUACCAAAAACUUGCUGGAAGAUAAUUUUAAUGGAAGAAACUAUUUAAAGCACUGUCCUGAAUUUUACCAUCUUCUCUUUACAAACAGAGCAUAAAUUCCUAUGACUUCCUCAGAAACCAGCUGCCAAGGGAAUGAAAUAUGAAGUGACUGCAGAAGCACUGUGGAGGAGGGAAGAAGGGAGGCAGUAGUCACUAGGCCUAGUGCUGGGCUUGGGAAGCUGGCCAUCCUUUAGCAGCCUGUGUAGGUAAGGGAGAGAAAGAUGUUUUGGUAGGCGCGUAGCACGUGAAGUAGAGCAGGUGUGAGUGCCCUCGGGUUGCCACUGAAGGAGGCUAUGAAAACUGCCAUCCUGAAGUUAGUCUUUGUGAAUGUUUUCCCUAAUAUUUGAAAUAUCAACUUCAAUUAGACCAUUAACACCGUUUUGCACAAACAGAAAUACUGAACAGAAGUUAUUUCUGACCACAGGUAAUUAAAGUGUAAGAGACUAAAGCUGGUCAUAUUUUUUCUUCUUACAUGUAGUCCUCAAACAUUGAAAUCCUGAAAAACAUAGAAGAAUUUUCUUCCACGUCAACUUUGGUAAUGACUUGAGUAUUUAGUAAUGACUCGGGUAUUUAGUAAUGACUCAGGGAAGCAAAUACCACAUACAGUGUACUUUUGUUUGGUAGAGUGCUUAGGCAAAUGAUUGACAUUAAGCAAAUUCUUCAGUUUCACUGAUCUCAGAACAUUUUUCUGAGGUCAGAAUCGGAAUUUGAUGAACAGGUCUGGAUUUAAACAUAUGCUGAUUUACAGUCUGAAUAUGAGUCAGUAUCAAAUUUUGCUUUUGGCAGCUAUUAAUAAUAGCUAGUACUGUACUGCAAGAUAGCAGAGUCAGAAUAUAUGAGCCCUUAGCCCUGCACACCUUCAUCAGUGAUAAGAUACAGUCAGCAUCAGCUCAAGUGACCUGGGGAGUCCUGUCAAGUUAACUCCUUUUUCUGAUUGAAAUCUGAUUUCUUUUAUGAGGUGGGAAUCUUGGGGUGGGGGUGACGGGUUGGGGUUUUUUUGUUGUUUUUGUGGUUUUUAGUAUCCAGCUUUUUCCUAGCCUACCAAAAGCAGAUAUUUUUGUCAAUUAGUUACUUCCUUUACUAUUACCCUUUUUUAAAUGAAGAUGUGAAAGUUGUGGAUUACUGUACGUAAUGACAAUGACACAAUCAAGAGAUAUGUUGAAAAAAAAGCAAUAUGGGAAUACGGAAGUACUUAAUAAGAAGACAUACAAAUAUGCAGGUGUAUUUAGAUUAUGCAGAAGCUUUAAAUGCCUGUGGUGGAUGAAAGUGAAAUUUAAGAUGACAAAAUAACUGACAAAUGAAGCAGAUAUUAAUGUUUAUUAAAUAUUUACAUUUGUCAUUUAAGGCUGUAGAUUUGACAUGAAAUGUAUGGCACAUAAAUAGUAAGACACAUUAUAGAUCCCUCACUGUUCUGUUUUUCUGUCAGUAAAACUUUUCUACUAGUCUGAAAGAAUAAGAGGGAUCUUCAGGCUUUUGAGCUAGGAAUCAGCAUGUGCUGAAGUGUGGGGAGUUUGACAAAAGAGCACCUAGGAGGGACAAAUAUCAAACCAGAAUGACUGAGAAAUGAUAGAGAAACAUGAAACCUGGCAGCUUACCCUGUAAAGAAAUGUAGUAUAUAGAGGAUGAGAAGCCAUGCUGGAGCUCUGCAAGUGAAAAAGAUUAGUGUUGUAGCCAGGUGUCAGGAGGGGAAAAUCUCCAGUGGCUUUUGAGGACUUUUGAGUGUGAAGUCAUGAAACCAAAGACAAAAAUACCGCUCUCAGUAGAUGUCAUCUAUGCCCUGCAGAUGUCAGGGCAGCACCUCAGGAGACUACUUUUAUCUUUGCCCUCACAACAAAUUCUUCAGAAGAGCAAUGAUUUUGCUUCUGAAAUUCAACAAAUGCGUUUUCCUGCUGAAUAUUCCUUCCGCUGCGUUCA
ensembl:lncRNA